rnacentral:lncRNA from 10 species
UUUUUUUUUUUUACUAUAUUCCAGCUGAUUUUUAACUCAAACUGCAGCACCUUUCUAAUUCAUCAUGUAAAUUCUGUUGUAGUUAUUUGGUCCAUUUAUAACUUCUCCAUGUUUCUGUGUGUAAGUAAUUCCACCAAUGAGUCAUGGGCAAGAAACAUGAGCAUCAAGACUGUUGGCUGAUGAAUAAACACAUUUGAAAAAUUAAUUUCAAGCCCUCUAAAGAUCUCAGCAUUUUAAGAAGUGAAUUUUGCCUACAUUGAAGUUUUCUGAUAAUGUGAUUGAACAUAUAUAUGUGUGUGUGUGUGUGUGUGUGUUUGUGUGUGUAAUGCUCAUAUAUUCAAAUAGUGGUAUUUCAAAGCAGCCAUAACACAAGAAUUGUAAUUCUAUCUUAUAAUAUUGUUAGAAUCUAAAUUGGGCCCAAAAAGAAUUAGCAGUCUAGAGUACACAUCAUUUUCUUCUUAGAAAGCAACCACUUUCACUUUAGUAACAUAGAAAUAUUUGGAGUUGAUGGGUUUAUUUACAUCUAUAUUAUAAAGCCAAUAAAUAUAGAAUGUCAUAGGUACAACUCUGGCCUGGCACAAUCCAGAAGAUACUACGAAUGUUGAAAUAUAUGUGAAUAGUGCCCUGCAGAGUUAUGCAGUGUGAUGGCCCUAGACAGGCCAUAGCAACUUGUAGCGUUUCACUAGCUAUAAAUUAGCAAUUAGCAAAGACAUUAUACCUUUUUAAGCUAAAAAGCUCAUAAUAGUUAUAAUUUUGUCUGGACUUUGUUUUCAACAAUCCCAAUAGAUGAGAAUUGAAUGAAGUGAAUAUCAAAGCCAAUAGUAUGUCAUUACUGAUAUUGCAGGCCUUACAAUUGCAAAUAUCAGCAGAAAAACUUACUAGCAACCUUUGGAUAUGUAAGCCUUUCUCUUGGGUAUAGCUCAUGCUUCCUAUAUUGUAGCUUUGUCUCUGAGAGUGUGUGAUCUUAUGAAUGCCAGAAAUAUAUGCAGAAAGCAUUGUAAUAGUAAAAACAGUUUUAUCUUGAAACAGUGACUCAAGUAAUUAUUUAUUUCUCAGAAAACUUUAGUUUCUUAGUAUGUUUAACUAUAGCAUUUUAAGUGCCUUGCUUUUAUCUCAAAUAAUUAUUAAAGCUUCAAUAUAAAUAACUUAAUUAAUUUAAUGUAAGAUUAUGGUUUGGAGCAGAGGAUAAAAUCUGUGAUGUAAGAGCAGCAUCUUACAUCCUAAUCAUUUUCUAUACAAAAUGCCUACAAAUAGAAUAUUUGAUUUUUAAUUGAAAACACUAUGGUAUGUUUUUGUGGUACAGGGAACCAUUUUCAAGGUAGCACAACGUAGCAACCUUUCCCUGUUUUUCCCUUAAUAUGUCUAUUCUAGUGAAACUGAAAAGUGUAUGUGCCCAGGAAACACUGUAUAAUACACAGGACUCAGUGCCCUAGCACAUGUUGUUCCCUUUGCCCGUAAUACCUUCAUCUCCAUUCUGCCACUUCGGAGCCCGGCCCUUGCAGCAGAACCCAGCUCUGAUACCCUCUUUUCAUGGAGCUUCCUUGAUUUCCUCAAUCUGAAGAGAUUUACCUCUCUCCUGAUUCUCAUAUUCUUUGUUUCUUGGUACCUCCCAUUUUAUAAUUCUGCCUUCUGCUUUGGAUUAUAGUUAUUUGUAUGCUUGUCUUUUCUUCCAACCACCAUUCUGGCAAGUAGGGGUCUUUGUUUUUAAUCGUUUACAAUAUCUAGCCCAUGGCAGGUACUAAAUAAUUUUUUGCAGAAUAAAUCAUCAGGUUUCCCCUUUGUUAGUUUAGCCUGUUUUAUGGUCGCUCAUUUGACAUAUGUUUUAUUUGGCAUUUUAGUAUAUUGGGUUUUCCUGAAAAUUAGCUGACCUUUGCUAUUUCCCUUAUAACACUGCUUAACACAUUGAAAUCUAAGGUCUCAGGAAAAAAACAGAUGCCAGUAGUUUUAAUUAUGCACUUUCUUUAAUUAAGGGAACAGUUCUAAUUACUUUUUAAAAUGCAAAAAAAGGUUGGUUCUAUUGGUAAAUAUAUAGGUAAGUACUUUCUCCAGGGCCAUUGUCUUUCCCCAGUCACUUUGUGAGUUUUUCCUUCGACUGUUUUUUCCAUGCAAAGUGAGCACAGUUUAAUGUCCUCAUUCAAGAUUCUAGCCAUGUCUCUGAAGUCCAAAUUAGAAAUAAGGUAAAAAUCAGAAAUGAGAGCACAGUGAAG